rnacentral:lncRNA from 1 species
GAGAGAGAGAGAAAAAAACUUGCCUUAUAUGUAAAACGCUGUGUGAACCUGAUGACGGCUAUAAAUUCAUGAACACACUUGUUGAAAGUUUUUUGAAGAACCUUUCUGAUUCGUUUUCUCAUUUUUUUUAACUCAUUCUUACACUAUCACAAGUCUUUUACAACUUUGAUGAAGCCUCAUCUAGAUAGAUCAUGAGAUUUUGCAAGAGUACUGUACGGUAUAUCACGAAAACCAAAUGAGUUUUUUUUAAGAUGCCAAGACAAAUGUAAACGAGAUUCAGUGACCGUUCCGUCAGCUAAUCCAUCAUGUCAAAAUCUGUCUUGUGUUGUGUAUUUCAGAAGUCCGUUAUGAUCAUGUUUCUCGAAUCACUCCCUUGAUGUCAGCGUUGCCGAUUUGGGAGUCGUUAAAGAAAGUAUCUGAUUCAGACUUGCAUGCUAAGAUCAAGACGCUACUGAUUGUUCAGUCUGUCGCUGUGUGUGUGAAGAAAGGACAUUCAAAGUUGGCAAAUGAAACCCUGCAGUGGCUGGAAAAAGAGACUGAGUUACCAGCGGUGCGUAUUUAUUUACCUGUUACAGUUUAACNNNNNNNNNNNNNNNNNNNNNNNNNNNNNNNAACUUCACUUUCGACCAGCUGUUGGAGAACAUUGACACGUUCCUCAACACAUUCAGCCAGGGACGUUCCUCCAUUUUCUUAUUCGAAGUACGAGGACUUUUUUUGUUAUGCUUACCAAAAACGAAUCCACCUUACGAUAAACUCUGAUUUGUUUUGCUGCAUCCUGUGGGAAAGUCCUAAUGGGCUUUAUUGACUGGGGUUUCAAUGUGCUUACCAUAUUUGCCUAACGAUCUCUUACAAUUGUGGUGUUUUCCUGAGGGUAUGGGAUGGAAAUUGUGCAAUUAGCUUCCCCCUCAAUACUCAAUAACCACCUAAUAAAGGUAAAGACAAGAUGUUGAGCUCUUAAGAGCAGAUUUGCUUGCCACUAAUGGUUUACUUUGUGAUUUAUAGACUGUGUAUAUUGCUGCAUAUUACAAAAAAUGCAAGGAAG